rnacentral:rRNA from 1 species
GCUGGCGGCGUGCCUAAUACAUGCAAGUCGAACGGUCUUUUCUAUGGAAGCUUGCUUCCACUGAGAAGAUAGUGGCGAACGGGUGAGUAACACGUGGGUAACCUGCCCAUAAGGAGGGGGAUAACAUCCGGAAACGGGUGCUAAUACCGCAUAGUUUUUCUUGAUCACAUGAUUGAGAAAGGAAAGACGGCCUUUGUGCUGUCGCUUAUGGAUGGACCCGCGGCGUAUUAGUUAGUUGGUGAGGUAACGGCUCACCAAGACGAUGAUACGUAGCCGACCUGAGAGGGUGAUCGGCCACAUUGGGACUGAGACACGGCCCAAACUCCUACGGGAGGCAGCAGUAGGGAAUCUUCCGCAAUGGACGAAGUCUGACGGAGCAACGCCGCGUGAGUGAAGAAGGUUUUUCCGGAUCGUAAAACUCUGUUGUCAGAGAAGAACAAGUUGGAGAGUAACUGCUCCAGCCUUGACGGUAUCUGACCAGAAAGCCACGGCUAACUACGUGCCAGCAGCCGC